CCUUAGUAGCGGCGAGUGAAGCGGCAAGAGCUCAAAUUUGAAAUCUGGUACCUUUGGUAUCCGAGUUGUAAUUUGAAGAUCACAAUCUUGAAAUUGGUCCUUGUCUAUGUUCCUUGGAACAGGACGUCACAGAGGGUGAGAAUCCCGUGCGAUGAGGAUACCUUUUUCAUUUAAGAUGUGUUCGACGAGUCGAGUUGUUUGGGAAUGCAGCUCAAAGUGGGUGGUAAAUUCCAUCUAAAGCUAAAUAUUGGUGAGAGACCGAUAGCGAACAAGUACAGUGAUGGAAAGAUGAAAAGAACUUUGAAAAGAGAGUGAAAAAGUACGUGAAAUUGUUGAAAGGGAAGGGUAUUUAAUCAGACUUGGUAUUUAGCUAUCUCUUCUCCUUGUGGGAGGGGCUCUAGCUUUUUACUGGGCCAGCAUCAGUUUUGGUGGUAAGAUAAUCGCAGUCGAAUGUGGCUCCUCGGAGUGUUAUAGCUUCUGUUGAUGUUACCUACUGGGACUGAGGUCUGCGGCUUUGCCUAGGAUGCUGGCGUAAUGAUUAAACACCGC
rnacentral:rRNA from 1 species